UGUAAAAAUGCCUAUCUCCAACUCAGUCUUUUCGUGGCGCAAUACGAAGAGUGCCGGCCGCAUCUCAUCCAGCAUUUAGUGGAUCGUAAAGUCAUCCAUUGGGACACGGUUAUUCGACAGCUAACAUCUCAGGCCUUGCAUCAAAUGACGUUCCUCGAUCCGGAGAGUAUGAAACUGAUUCUUUCUACUCAGAUCCUUCCUCGCUGUACAAAUCCUGAACUCUAUUUACGGCACGGAAGCAUUUUGGCCAGUGGCAAAGUCAUCAGCGCUCUUUGUCAAGUGGCAAAAGACCAUCAACGUCGUCUGCCAGAUGAACUUGGUGAUGCCACGAUGGAAUUUAUUACCCAAACUUGUAUCGACAUCCUGGAGGAGCGUUUCUGGCGGAGUUUCGGCGGCGAUCAAAUGCGCAUAGCCGUUUGCCAUUUCAUCCAAGAUCUUAGUUCGGGGGGUUUCCCGUUGCCGGACGCUGUAGUCGACCGUUGGUUGAAGGCGUUACGAGAGUGUCUCGCUUCAGCCGAUUCAAAUGUCCAGCAAUCGGCCAUCAGCGCCGUCACCGCUUUGAUUGGCGAAUACUUCCGGCAUCAGCCAGUGGAGAAACUCACUGCCUUGUUGAACCAUUUCCUACCCGAGGUGACGAGCAACAACCAACAGGCGUGAGUAGGAAACGCACUAGCCCUGGGCUCAAUGCCUCACUUCCUCCCGCUUCCUCCUCACCGUUUCCUUGCCGAAAGUCAUCCAACAGUUGUGCACCUGCGCUCUCAUCACCGACAAGACUCUCCAAUGUGCCGAAUCUCGAAAAAAUGCUCUGACAGCUCUUUCGCUGGUCUGCACAACCGUUGGGAUCGCCCCAUCCAGCCCAGGUGGGGUUGAUCAAGUGACACUGGCCGUAAUAUUCCGCACAUUAAUCGAUGGCCUUGAAGAUUACACGGUGGAUAACCGUGGAGAUAUUGGAGCUAUCGUCCAUGAAUCGGCAAUGUCUUCUAUUCAGGUUGUUUAGGUAUUGACCAACACCUCGCAACCAGAACUACUUGAAGCUGACCUGAUCCGCUCCGUAUUGCAUGCGGUGGCUAAACAAUCGACGGAAAAAAUCCGUCGUACCCGGUUGUUGGCCACCAACGUCUUUUCUUCUCUCAUCUACUGUGAUCCCACCAUUCCUCACAUUGAGCAGUUGGAAGAAUUGCGUUCCAUCCUUCAACCGCCUCCGCUGGACAUUUUGACCGAGAAGGAAUGUUUCGAAUUGUGGAUGAAGGUGAUGCGACUCGACACUUACCGCAAAGCCGUCAUCACCGGACUUGUUUCCAGCAUCGGCAGUCUCACGGAGAGUUUGGUAUGAAUUUGCAUUUAUUAAGCAACACCUCGAAUCCAUGUCACAGUCGCUGUUGACCUUGAUUCGUACUGAGAUGACCAAUGGCGGUAAACCGUUAAAGUUGUUGAUAUCGUCGGUGGAUUUGUACUGUCACCUACUCAGAGGUGAUCAAGUGACGUUCGAUAAAUCAAUCAUUCACCUGUUAAAUCUGCUAGUGAAUCGGUUCCCUUGCGUUCGUAAAAUCACGGCCACCAAGUUGUACGAGACGCUGCUGACUCUGACAGAUAUUAGCCCGUCGUUGGCCAAUCACCAAGACGACAUCGACGACAUCUUGGCCAUUCCCAGCGAUUCCCAGCGACACUGACUGGGACGAAGACGUCGAAGCUUUGAAGCCCGUCAAGACUCAGCUUCGCUCACUUUUCAUUCCACUGACUUUGAAUCCUUGAAAUUCUUAGCCUUUCAUUCAAAUUAUUUGCUUAUUUAAAAUUAAAUAACCACCCGAAAUUGUGUCAUUAAUUUAUAGGAAAUACAAUUUCGAUUGUUUGGCUGCACUAAA
rnacentral:misc_RNA from 1 species